rnacentral:piRNA from 1 species
GCGCCACGUAUACGCUAGAGGUCGUUAA